GUGGAUUAGAUACCCUGGUAGUCCACGCCCUAAACGAUGUCGACUAGUCGUUCGGAGAGGUAACUCACUGAGUGACGCAGCUAACGCGUGAAGUCGACCGCCUGGGGAGUACGGCCGCAAGGUUAAAACUCAAAGGAAUUGACGGGGACCCGCACAAGCGGUGGAUGAUGUGGAUUAAUUCGAUGCAACGCGAAAAACCUUACCUACCCUUGACAUGCCUGGAAUCCUUGAGAGAUCAAGGAGUGCCUUCGGGAACCAGGACACAGGUGCUGCACGGUCGUCGCCAACU
rnacentral:rRNA from 1 species